CGAACGCUGGCGGCGUGCUUCACACAUGCAAGUCGAACGGAAAGGCCCUGCUUUUGUGGGGUGCUCGAGUGGCGAACGGGUGAGUAACACGUGAGUAACCUGCCCUUGACUUUGGGAUAACUUCAGGAAACUGGGGCUAAUACCGGAUAGGAGCUCCUGCUGCAUGGUGGGGGUUGGAAAGUUUCGGCGGUUGGGGAUGGACUCGCGGCUUAUCAGCUUGUUGGUGGGGUAGUGGCUUACCAAGGCUUUGACGGGUAGCCGGCCUGAGAGGGUGACCGGCCACAUUGGGACUGAGAUACGGCCCAGACUCCUACGGGAGGCAGCAGUGGGGAAUAUUGCACAAUGGGCGGAAGCCUGAUGCAGCAACGCCGCGUGCGGGAUGACGGCCUUCGGGUUGUAAACCGCUUUCGCCUGUGACGAAGCGUGAGUGACGGUAAUGGGUAAAGAAGCACCGGCUAACUACGU
rnacentral:rRNA from 1 species